AUUGAACGCUGGCGGCAGGCCUAACACAUGCAAGUCGAACGAGUGGCGGACGGGUGAGUAAUGUCUGGGCAACUGCCCGAUGGAGGGGUAUAACUACUGGAAACGGUAGCUAAUACCGCAUACCAUCGGAUGUGCCCAGAUGGGAUUAGCUAGUAGGGGGGGUAACGGCUCACCUAGGCGACGAUCCCUAGCUGGUCUGAGAGGGUGAUCGGCCACACUGGAACUGCGACACGGUCCAGACUCCUACGUGAGGCAGCAGUGGGGAAUAUGGCACAAUGGGCGCAAGCCUGAUGCAGCCAUGCCGCGUGUAUGAAGAAGGCUUUCGGGUUGUAAAGUACUUUCAGCGGGGAGGCGUUACCCGCAGAAGAAGCACCGGCUAACUCCGUGCCAGCAGCCGCGGUAAUAC
rnacentral:rRNA from 1 species